rnacentral:tRNA from 1 species
UCCUCUUUAGUGCAGCAGGCAGAGUGUCAAUCUCCUAAACUGAAGGUCCUGAGUUCGAUCCCCAAAAGGGGAA